GACGGAGGGGGCAAGCGUUAUCCGGAAUUAUUGGGCGUAAAGGGUACGUAGGCGGCUGUUCAAGGCUGGGGUCAAAGGCCACAGCUCAACUGUGGGAAGGCCCUGGAAACUGACCGGCUAGAGUGAGGUAGGGGUUGCGGGAAUUCCCGGUGUAGCGGUGAAAUGCGUCGAGAUCGGGAAGAACACCUGAGGCGGAAGCGCGCAACGGUGCGUCAACUGACGCUGAGGUCCGCAAGCUAGGGGAGCGAAUGGG
rnacentral:rRNA from 1 species